rnacentral:rRNA from 1 species
GACGAACGCUGGCGGCGUGCUUAACACAUGCAAGUCGAACGGAAAGGCCCUGCUUGCAGGGUACUCGAGUGGCGAACGGGUGAGUAACACGUGGGUGAUCUGCCCUGCACUUCGGGAUAAGCCUGGGAAACUGGGUCUAAUACCGGAUAGGAGCCAUUUUUAGUGUGAUGGUUGGAAAGUUUUUUCGGUGUAGGAUGAGCUCGCGGCCUAUCAGCUUGUUGGUGGGGUAAUGGCCUACCAAGGCGGCGACGGGUAGCCGGCCUGGGAGGGUGGACGGCCACAUUGGGGCUGAGAUACGGCCCAGGCUCCUACGGGAGGCAGCAGUGGGGAAUAUUGCACAAUGGGCGCAAGCCUGAUGCAGCGACGCCGCGUGGGGGAUGACGGCCUUCGGGUUGUAAACUCCUUUCGCUAGGGACGAAGCUUUUUGUGACGGUACCUAGAUAAGAAGCACCGGCUAACUACGUG